rnacentral:sRNA from 1 species
UGCCUAACCCUCGUGAAUUAAAAACUCCGAGGUAUGGCACAAAAAACCCGCUACAGGACAAAAAGCUCGUCGUCAGAGCACCUGUAGCGGGUCAUAUCUGAAAGGAUAUGGGUAGCGAAAGCUAUC